rnacentral:rRNA from 1 species
AUGACCACCGGGCAGGCUCUCUUCAACCGCGGCAUCCAAGACAUCGUCGACUUCAUCCUCCAUCACAGCUCGAAAUCGGAGCAAGUGAGCGUCUUCAAGUUGGUAUGGGAGAAAGAAGAAAGGUCGAGGGCGUUGGUGGAUCGUGUUGUUCAGGCAGUGUACGACCAUCCCUCCUUGGCGUCGUCCUUAUUCAGUCGCAAGGCCAGGGUGCGCCUUUCUGACAAGUCUGACCCGUAUGAUUUGCGUGAGGAACUAGUCCAAGCAACAGUUCCUCAAGUCGGCGAGCAGUAUGAUUACACAUCCAGCUACUUAAUGAGGAUGCAUAUGAGAGGUCAGCGGUUUUUCAUCCUUCUUGAACACUUCGUAGACAAGGACAUGUUAGCGUUCAUAAUCUCCGAGUUUGUAAGCUCCGAUUUCCGUCCUGGUAGUGUUUUAGUCACGACCGGCGAUGAGCUCGGCCGUGAUGGCAACCUUUACAACGACUCAUGCAUACACAACGGCCUGGGGUUUCAGACUCCCUUUCAGAAAACAAGAAUACAGCUUCACAAUACCAGCUAUGAUGGUCUUCAACCCUCAAAAUGUUAUAUGCAAUGA